rnacentral:rRNA from 1 species
UACGUAGGUGGCGAGCGUUAUCCGGAAUUACUGGGCGUAAAGCGCACGCAGGCGGUCUAUCAAGUCUGACGUGAAAGCUCCUGGCUUAACUGGGAGAGGUCGUUGGAAACUGAUGGGCUUGAGGCAAUGAGAGGGGUGCAGAAUUCCCGGUGUAGUGGUGGAAUGCGUAGAUAUCGGGAGGAAUACCAGUGGCGAAGGCGGCACCCUGGCAUUGGCCUGACGCUCAGGUGCGAAAGCGUGGGGAGCGAAC